GUCAAACACCGAUAAAACUAUCAGUUCUCAUGAGAACGCACUCACUAUCAUGAGAACAGCAUGGGGGAAACCACCCGUAGUGUUUUAAACAUGACCUCACAGUUUUUCGACACGCUUACCCUCAUCUAUGUCCCCUUUCCUAAAAUCUCAGUGAGCUUGUGACUGUUCUGGAAAUUUUAAUAGUGUAAGAAUACAGGCUGUAACAGAACCAAAUUAACUGUGGCUGAAAAGAGACUGAAGUUGCUGUCUCUUUCAUGUAACAGUUCAGAGGCAGAUGGUUCAGUGCAGGUGGGACUUCACAGGCUGCCCGGGGACUCAUCCUUCUUCUACUUGUGGCUCCCCAUCCUUAGAAUCCUACCCUCAUAUACAUGGUCCAAAUUGGCUCUCCAAUAUAUUUUCAUCUCAACUAGUGGCAAGGGAGAAAGGAGGAAUGUGAGGGUACAUUCUCAUUUCCUUUAAGGGCAUGACUUAGAAUUGCACACAUCUCUUCCCCUCAUACUUCACAUUGACUAUAACAGUUAUAUGGUCAAAUUUAGCUGCAUGGGAGGCUAGGAAAUAUAGUCUUCAUUCUGGAUGUAAACACACCCAACUAAAAUCAGAGGUUCUGUGCUCAUAGAAUGGAAGACUGAAUAUUGAAAGAGGAAAUUUAAAAAAGGCCCCAGCAGUUGCCAGGACACUGCUUCACACCACCUAGAGAAAAUCAGACUGCAGAGAGAAUAAAUGAUGGAGAAUGAGAGCAACCAGGGGCAAGAGAGUUCCUAGAUUCAGUUUUCCCUGAAGCCUAGCAAGAUAAGGCUUGCCUCACAUUCAUCCUGUGGUCUCUCUCAUGGCUCUGAAUUGGGUAUCGGUUCAAAACAUAGACCUGCUUUUGAGACAGUGGCCAUCCCAAUCCAUGUAUAUAAGCUUUGUUUAUAUACAUGGGGCUUCCCAAGAACCUCACAUUUGCACCACUUCUUCCUCAGUGCUUUGAGAAAACACAGGAAAGCAUGUAGCUAUCAGUUCAGCCACCAGAUCUGAGAUGAAUUGGACCUGAGGACAAGGGGCAUUUAUUAAUCAUUUAUCUGAUUUUUUUAAAUAACUGGGAGAGUUCCUUUCUAAAUUAGUUUAGAUUCUGUUUAUAUAUAACCUAGUUAUUAAUUAACAACUCUGUUAAGUAUUUAAGUUCUUUGGGAUCACCCUUUAGCAAACCAGAACUAAAAACAGAAAGUGAAUGACUCUAAGAGGUGGAACUGGGAGAAAGAGCAGGAGAUUCUGACUUUCAUUUAAUACCAUUCUGAACUGAUUAAAUUUAUUUUUACUCUCUUUGUGUAACAGGAGACAGGGAAUCAUUUCAGUCUGAAGUCAUAAGCAUCCCUGAAGACAAGGGGAAGUGACUCCUUCCCUGAAGCUCUAAAACCUGAAAAAUGGGGGUUGGAUUUCCUUGCAUUUAUCCUGUUCGUGGUUUACUCAGCUUCCUGAGUAUAUAGGUGUAUGCCUUUCACCACAUUUGGGAAGUUUUCAGCCAUUAUUUCUUCAGAUAUUUUCUUCUGCUCCAUUCUGUUUCUCCUGUCCUUCUCAGAUCCUGAUAACACAAACAUUAGAUAUUUUGGAAUUGUCUCCACAGUUGCCUGAAGUUCUGUUCAGUUUCCCCCAGUCCUUUUUCUCUGUUGUUCAGAUUGGAUAAUUUCUAUUUUUCUAUCUUCGAGAUCACUGGCAUGUUUCCCUGCAAUCUCCAUUCUGCUAUUGUACCCAUCUGUUGGGAGCUGAAAAGGCCAAAGGGAUCUUGACCAACUCAGCAUUCCACUGGAGGCUAUAUGAUCAAAUAGCCAACUGUUUAUCAUGAAUGCAGGAUGUGGGCAAACUCACAACUGCGCCUGCCACCAGGAGGUUUGCUGAGGGCAAUCACCCCCUGGCACUGUGCUCACUGAGGUUAUCUACUGGGACAUCUAGAGCCUAUUGUUUGAAGACUGCAGUCUUGCAAGCCUGCUGUAAAUCAAACUGCUAACCGACAAUCACCCCCCACUUCUCGCUGUCUCUUUUGCCUAAUAAAUGCAAAGGGCUCUAAAGCUCAGGCCCCUUGUUUACUAGAAGCAAGGAGCCCCCUGACCCUUCUUUCAAAUAUACUCUCUUGUCUUUGUCUUUUAUUCCCACGUUUGCCCCCUUUGUUCUGUCCCUCAAGGUCCAUGCAGGUGACAAAUUGCGACCCAGAACAGGGACUCCAAGGAUGUCAGAUAAGUGGCAUCCGAACACAGAUACUUUGAGGAUGUGAACAAAGAAGGUCUGCUGGAGCAGAGGAACUGAAAUUGACAAGACGCAUGGGGACCCCAGGAUGAGUCUGCCGACAGCGGAUAUAAGAUUAUUUCUACACAGAGCAGAGGCACUGUGACCCGAGAGAACACUGUGACCUGAGAGAACACUGUGACAUGGUCUAGGACACAGGGAGGCAGAUACGGGUAACUGAGGCUCCAAGAGAAGAAAUAACAUCUGCAGAAUCACUGCUGAUGACCCUGGGAGCUAAAAGAACCAAUGCUUCUUGCAUGCCCGUUCUGUGCCAGACACUGACUUGCUGAUCUUGCUUAGGCUCACCACAGCCCUGUGCAGUGGGAAUUAGAGGAAGAGCCUGAAGCCCUGAGAAGCGAAGCCACUCACCGAGAUCACAUAGCUGAGAAGAGCUGAGCCAGGAUUUACCCCAGGGUGUUCUGACUCCAAGGCUGGUGGACUCAGGCAGAGUGGCUACACAUUGGUGCCACCUCCCACUUCCUGGACAUACCAGCUUGAUGACACCAGGCACUGGAAGCUCCCACCUAGGCCUGCAGGGAUGUCAGCUCUGUGAGGGUGGAAGAUGUGUCUGUCUUUUCCCUGCUAUAGCCCCUGGCACAGCAUAGCGCCUGGUAUACAGUAGAUGCUCAGAAACCAUGUGCCAAAUGGAUGAAUGAACAAGUGUCCACACACCCUGAUGGGUGAACUGGAAUCUUCACAGGCAUUGAGACGGAAUCUAGGGCAGGUCCCAGUGACUCUGGUAAUUCCAACAGGGAGUCCCUGGCAGGAAUGACAGAGGCCUCAAAGCAUUGGGAACCUGCAGAAGCCGAAACUCAGAGGGAGGAGAACCAUCUUCAUGCAUCAGCAGAGCUGUGAUCCCAAAAGGAAGGGAGCAAACCCCUGUUGCUUUUCCGUUGUGCUCCCACCACCUGGCCCUGUCAUGAAGAGUGAAGCACAGAGGGAUGCUGAAGCUUUAGCUUUCUGACUGGAAGCGUGAAAAGGCAGCCUCAGGAAACAGGAGAGUACAGGGAGAUUGUAAAAAGGGAGGAGCUUGUGAAAGCAACCCCAUUACAUUGUUUACGAACUCCUUGAUGCGCUCUCCAAUUCCACAUGUGUGGAUCCGAUUGUAAUCACCAUAUAAAGGCUCUGAGAAAUGUGCUAACAGGCCACACUACUCAGGUCCCAGACUCUCUGCUGGGUGGUGAACACAGGGGACCAGACAGUCAGUAAAGGUUUUGCAGACUGAGCUGACAUUGGAACCACCACACACAGAAGGUUGGAACUUGAGGCCUGAACCUGACCAGGUUGACUGCCUGCCAAAAUGAAAGAUAUAAACGUUUCCCAUAAAACUUAAAUAAGACCCAGAGCCUCAAAAUAUAAUACAGAAAAUGUUCAGUUUACAAUCCCAAACUACUCAGCUUGUGAAGAUUCAGGAAAAUGUCAACUCUCCUGGGAGAAGACAUCAACAGAUGCCCACUCCUAGAUGACACAGAUGUUGGGGUUAUCUGAUACCUUUUGAAGAAGUGACUACAAAAAUACUCAAAUGAGUAAGCGUAGAUACUCUUCUUUUUCUUGAGAUAAAAUUCAAGUAACAGGCCGGGUGUGAUGGCUCACACCUGUAAUCCCAGCACUUUGGGAGGCCGAGGUGGAUGGAUCAUGAGGUCAGGAGUUUAAGACCAGCCUGGCCAAGAUAGUAAAACCCAUCUCUACUAAAAAUACAAAAAUUUAGCUGGGCACGGUGGCAGGCGCCUGUAAUCCCAGUACUUGGGAGGCUGAGGCUGAAGAAUCGCUUGAACUCUGAGGGCGGAGGUUGCAGUGAGCCUAGAUGGCACCACUGCACUCUAGCCUGGGUGACAGAACGAGACUUCAUCUCAAAAAUAAAAUAAAAUAAAAUAAAAAUAAAAAUUAAAAAAUUCAAGUAACAUAAAAUUAAUCAUUUUAACAGGGCAUUUAGUAUGUUCAAUGUUGUGUAACCACUACGUCUAUCUAGUUCUAAAUAUUUUCAUCACCCCAAAAUAAAGCCCAGUAUCCAUUAAACAGUACUUCCCAUUGUUCCUUCCACAUGGUGCCCAGCAACGAUCAAUCAGCUUUCUGUCUCUAUGGAUUUACCUAUUCUGGAUAUUUUAUUUAACAUGUGGCUGUCACAGUAUGUGACUCUUUUGUCUGAGUUUUCACUUGGCAUAAUGGUUUUGAGGUUACUUGGAGUUAGCCAAACUGCAGGUAACCUCAAAAACACUGCUAAGACAGGGUCCUCCAGACCACCAAAUUUGACUCCCAAGACUCUGAUACAAAUUUCAAGUUCAAGCGUUUCCUAAAACCACCCUCAGGUUGUAUAAUUCACCAGAAAGACUCGCUGAAACCCAUUAUAUGCAUGUUUAUGUUUAUUACAACAAAAAUAUACAAAUUAGAACCAGCCAGAGGAAGAGAUGCAUAGGAUGGAGUUGGGAGGGGUCUAAAUGGGGAGUGUCUGGAGUCCUCUCCCCAGGGUCGUGGACAGUUACUUCCUCGUGGCCAUGAUGUGUGAUAACAUGUGCAGAGUAUUGCCAACCAGGGAAGCUCACCUGAACUUUGGUAUCUAGAGUUUUUAAUGAGGCUUCACUACAUGGACAUGAUUGAUUAAAAUCAAUCUUCAGCCCACUCCACCCUAACCCUGGAGGUUGGGUUGAAAGCUCCCACAGUAAAUUCUAUGUUUGUUUUUUCUGGUGAGGCCAGCCCCUCCACCCUAAGACUAUCAGGCAUGAGUGGUGUUAUGAAUAAUCUCAUAAGCAUAAACUAUUCAGGUGUGGUGCCAGUGACUCACCAGGAAUAAAGAGGACACUCCUGUCACGUAGGAAAUUCUAGACAUCUCUUUGAAUGAGGCCAAAUUCCUUACAACAUGGAAGUUUAUCCAUAAUGGCAUGUAUCACUACUUCAUUUUUUUUUGGUUUCUGAAUAAUCCAUUUUAUGUGUACACAAUUUGUUUAUUCAUUUGUUCAUUGCUGGACAUUUGGGUUGUUUCCACUUUUGGGCUAUUUUGAAUAAUGCUGCUAUUAAACAUGGAUGUACAAGUAUCUGAGUACCUGUUUUCAAUUCUUUUUAUACCUGGGAUGUUUAACUUUAUGCAUUAAUUUGACUAGAUUAUGGGAUACCCAGAUAUAUGGUAAAACAUUAUUUCAGAGUGUGUCUGUGAGGGUGUUUUCUAGAUUAGUAUUUGAAUCAGUAGAUGGAGUAAAGAAGAUCGUCCUCCCCAGUGUGGGCGGGCAUCAUGGAUGAACUUCAGUGUUGAAGGCCCAUUCAUAUAGAACAAAAAUGUGGAGGAAGUGCAAAUUCUCUCUCUGUUUUUGAGCUGGACCACCUUCUCCUGCUCUCAGACAAUGGAGCUCUUGGUUCUCAGGCUUUUGAACUCUCUAAGGCUUAUACCAGUAGCCUCCCACCCCCAGAUUCUCAGACCUUAGGCCUUGGACUGGGAGUUACAUCACUGGCUUCCCUGAUUCUCAGGCUCUCAGACUUGAACUAAAUUACAUCACCAGCUUUUCUGGUUCUUCAGCUUGUAAAUAGUAUGUCAUGGGACUUCUUGAACUCUGUAAUUGCAUGAAACAAUUCCCAUAAUAAACCUUCUCUAUAUGUA